CGGUAGAGAUCUUUCGGGAUCCUUGAGAAGCGGCGUACGGGUGCGGAACACGUGUGCAACCUUGCCUUUAUCAGGGGGAUAGCCUUUCGAAAGGAAGAUUAAUACCCCAUAAUAUAUUGAGUGGCAUUCACCUAAUAUUCGAAAACUCCGGUGGAAAGAGAUGGGCACGCGCAAGAUUAGAUAGUUGGUGAGGUAACGGCUCACCAAGUCUGCGAUCUUUAGGGGGCCUGAGAGGGUGAUCCCCCACACUGGUACUGAGACACGGACCAGACUCCUACGGGAGGCAGCAGUGAGGAAUAUUGGACAAUGGGUGCGAGCCUGAUCCAGCCAUCCCGCGUGAAGGACGACGACCCUAUGGGUUGUAAACUUCUUUUGUAUAGGGAUAAACCUACUCUCGUGAGAGUAGCUGAAGGUACUAUACGAAUAAGCACCGGCUAACUCCGUGCCAGCAGCCGCGGUAAUACGGAGGGUGCAAGCGUUAUCCGGAUUUAUUGGGUUUAAAGGGUCCGUAGGCGGAUCUGUAAGUCAGUGGUGAAAUCUCACAGCUUAACUGUGAAACUGCCAUUGAUACUGCAGGUCUUGAGUGUUGUUGAAGUAGCUGGAAUAAGUAGUGUAGCGGUGAAAUGCAUAGAUAUUACUUAGAACACCAAUUGCGAAGGCAGGUUACUAAGCAACAACUGACGCUGAUGGACGAAAGCGUGGGGAGCGAACAGGAUUAGAUACCCUGGUAGUCCACGCCGUAAACGAUGCUAACUCGUUUUUGGGCUUUCGGGUUCAGAGACUAAGCGAAAGUGAUAAGUUAGCCACCUGGGGAGUACGAACGCAAGUUUGAAACUCAAAGGAAUUGACGGGGGCCCGCACAAGCGGUGGAUUAUGUGGUUUAAUUCGAUGAUACGCGAGGAACCUUACCAAGGCUUAAAUGGGAAAUGACAGGCUUAGAAAUAGGCUUUUCUUCGGACAUUUUUCAAGGUGCUGCAUGGUUGUCGUCAGCUCGUGCCGUGAGGUGUUAGGUUAAGUCCUGCAACGAGCGCAACCCCUGUCACUAGUUGCAAUCAUUAAGUUGGGGACUCUAGUGAGACUGCCUACGCAAGUAGAGAAGAAGGUGGGGGAUGACGUCAAAUCAUCACGGCCCUUACGCCUUGGCCCACACACGUAAUACAAUGGCCGGUACAGAGGGCAGCUACACCUGCGAAGUGAUGCAAAUCUCGAAAGCCGGUCUCAGUUCGAAUUGGAGUCUGCAACUCGACUCAUAUGAAGACCUGGAAUCGCUAGUAAUCGCGCAUCAGCCAUGGCGCGGUG
rnacentral:rRNA from 1 species